CCUAUUUUACACACUUUUUGUGCAGCUGUGGGCACACACCAUGCUGAAGACUGUGUGCGCUGGCGUCUGCGAUGCCUGUCUUCCACCUAUUUUGUCAGAGGAGCUUCAGAAGGACUGUGCGAGAUGUGAAGCCGUGGGAAGACAACCGGCCGAAGGCUGCGUGCGCUGGCGUCUGCAAUGCCUGUCAUGUAUCGCUUCCAUCGGGGGAGCUCCACAAGAAGUGAACAAGAUGUGACAACGAGACUGGACUUGUACACUUUACCAUGAAUUCGCUUAGCACAAUGAAGAAACUUCAUUUGUAUGUAAAAAAAAGAUUUUGAUGUUUCACAA